AAGUCGUAACAAGGUAACCGUAGGUGAACCUGCGGUUGGAUCAUUACCGAUUUCAGUUCCUACAGAGUCGAUACCCUCUCGGGAGUCCUCUGUAGGGACGAUACACCCCUUGUGCACCAUGUCGUUUUUUGGGUCACAACCGGCCGGAGGUGGUAGCGAUGCCGAUUCUGGUAGCGAUGCCGAUUCUGGUAGCGAUGCCGAUUCUGGUAGCGAUGCCAACUCUUGCCGGCUGGCCCAGCAGUAAGAACCAUAUCAAAUUGUCUGAAAUCUAUAUGAAAAUAUAAACAACUUUUGACAACGGAUCUCUUGGCUCUC
rnacentral:misc_RNA from 1 species